rnacentral:tRNA from 1 species
GCCCACGUGGCGGAAUUGGUAGACGCACUAGUUUCAGGUACUAGCGGGUAAAACCGUGGGAGUUCGAGUCUCUCCGUGGGCACCA